rnacentral:rRNA from 1 species
CGUGCCAGCAGCCGCGGUAAGACGUAGGACACAAGCGUUAUUCGGAUUUACUGGGCGUAAAGCGUCUGCAGGCGGACAGGUAAGUUGGGCGUGAAAGCUCCGGGCCCAACCCGGAGAGGUCGUUCAAUACUGCGUGUCUAGAGGGUGUCAGAGGGGAGUGGAAUUUCCGGAGUAGCGGUAAAAUGCGCAGAGAUCGGAAAGAACACCAAUGGCGAAGGCAGCUCCCUGGGGCAACCCUGACGCUAAGAGACGAAAGCUAGGGGAGCGAACAGGAUUAGAGACCCUGGUAGUCCUAGCCCUAAACGGUGGAUGCUGGAUGUGGGGCCAUAGCGCUCCGUGUCGAAGCGAACGCGUUAAGCAUCCCGCCUGGGGACUACGGCCGCAAGGUUAAAACUCAAACGAAUUGACGGGACCCCGCACAAGCAGCGGAGCGUGUGGUUUAAUUCGAUGCUACACGAAGAACCUUACCUGGGUUUGACACCUAGGUGGUGGUGAAGCGAAAGCGGAGCGACCCUUCGGGGAGCCUAGACAGGUGCUGCAUGGCUGUCGUCAGCUCGUGCCGUGAGGUGUCGGGUUAAGUCCCGUAACGAGCGCAACCCUUGCCCUCCGUUAUACGUGUCAGAGGGGACUGCCGGCGGUAAGCCGGAGGAAGGUGGGGAUGACGUCAAGUCAGCAUGGCCUUUAUAUCCAGGGCUACACACACGCUACAAUGGCCAGUACAAAGGGCAGCGAAGCCGCGAGGUGGAGCGAAUCCCAGCAAGGCUGGUCGUAGUUCGGAUUGCAGGCUGCAACCCGCCUGCAUGAAGCUGGAGUUGCUAGUAACCGCGCGUCAGCCAUAGUGCGGUGAAUACGUUCCCGGGGUUUGUACACACCGCCCGUCACGUCAUGGGAGUCGAUAACGCCUGAAGCCGGUGGCCUAGCUCGGAAGAGAGGGCGCUGUCUAAGG